rnacentral:lncRNA from 1 species
ACUCUUGGUGCAGGAGCAUGGUUGCUCUCAGGUAGAAAUGCUUGUUGUAGCACUUAUAUGUUGCUGGUGCACCACAGCCAGUGGGCUGCUGGUCUGUUUUCAUGUUGUACAGCUGCUAACAUGUGGAAGAGAUGGGAGCCAUGACUCCUGAUCUUGCUUUUAGUUAGCAGAGCAGAUUCUCCUAGAGUUUGAAAUUACCAUGAUAAAUUUGAAAGGAAGCCUGAGAUAGUUUUGGAAUCACAACUGUAAUAGCAACUGAGUUGAUGGAAAUAUAAGUGGUGCAGCAAAGGACGAGUCAAAUCACAACUGAAAGAACAACCAAGAAUAAACGUUUGCAGGAAACAAUGCAUAUAAACAUGCAUUUGAAGAUGUUUGGAGAUGAAGUUCCGGGGAAAUAAAAUGGAACAGGUACUGCUUUUAUAUACCAUAGGCUUCCCACAGAUCUACAAGGCUGAGAUCAGCAAACAACUUUCUUUUUCUGUAUAAACGCUGUUAUGCAAGACUCCUGAAGCUGCUGUGCCCACAGAAGCGUAAGAUAAUGGUGAGAAUAUUUACUGGAAGAUCUAUUGUUUGCAUUUAUAGCCAGCUGCUCCUCCCAGGUCAGCACUUCAGGGUAUCUCCGAAUGGUUGCACGAUGGCUGUGGUCUAACCCUUUGGGAUUUUAUUGCAGGAGGAAGGAGAGUAAGAAAGGGAGGAGGGGUGGAAAGGUGGGAGGAAAAGCUCAAGUGUCCUUGCGUGCUGAGAGGGGUGCAAGAAGAAGCUCUGUUCGUCUCACUGCACUUCAGGACUGUCAAGCGCUGUGACCCAUUUUCCCUUCUGGCAGCUCCUACACAAGGGCUGCUUUGAAACAACCGCUUAGCUUAUACCUUCGCUUCUCAUUUCUGAGGCCAUGUGAAGAGCUUGCCAGCAGUGCUGAGAGUCCUCUGCUGAAGGACACUGUCAAGAUGUAACUAUUGUUUCAAAGAAGUUACAAGUAUCCUGGAGGUGGACUUGCAUUAGCUCCGACGACACAGUUGGGCUGUGACAAUAGGUUUUGUAUAUUUCUUAUUUGCUUUUCUUGGGAGUUGGAGUGGCAUUAGGAAAACACAUUUUAAUAUCAGGCUGUAGGAGGUGAGACAGAGCUCACUGUCUCUCUGAUAGCAGCAUUUAAAGCACAAGAAGCCAAAUUCAGCCCUGAACUUUUCUUCUGGAGUGUCUUAUCUUUUGUAAGAAGGAAGGAUGCCAGUUCCUGGAAAAAGAGAAGGACAAAGCAAGAUGCGGAGAGCUGAAAACGCUGUUACAGUGCAGCCUAGGAUAAGCACAGUAUAUUAAAUUCUGGACAGCUGAGGACAAUCUCUCUUAUUAAGAGCAGAGUGUUCCCUGGUCCCUUUGUAUUAGAAAUUGUAACUACUUGAUGUUCUUACACCUUGUCUAAUUCCUCAUGACUCCUUCAGAAUUGAUGUAGCUCAACAUCUUUGUCAUCCAAAUAGAUUCCCAGAAAAUCGGAUCCUGAUUACUAAUAACUU